CAAGUCCGGUAUAUUAUCACCACCCAUCACCACCACCUCCACAACCAGUAUAUUACGCGCCACCAACAUAUAAACCUCAAUCACCACCACCACCUCCACCACCAGUACAUUACGAGCCACCAACGUACACACCUCAAUCACCACCACCACCUCCACCAGUACAUUACGAGCCACCACCAUACACACCUCAAUCACCACCACCUCCACCAGUACAUUACGAACCACCAACGUACACACCUCAAUCGCCACCACCACCAGUAUAUGUGACACCGUCUUCACCACCACCACCAGUAUAUGAGCAUCCAAAACCUCCAACUCCAACUCCAUCACCACCAGCUGGGUACACACCUCCCCAGGAGCCAUCACAUCCUGCCCCACCUACCCCACCUUGUAACGAGACACCACCCCCACCACCUAGUACCCCACAUUGGCAACCAAAACCAUCUCCUCCCCCUACAUAUAACCCAUCACCAUCAUAUACCCAAAGCCCCCCGCCGCCACCUCCUACUUACACCUACUCUUCAC
rnacentral:lncRNA from 1 species